rnacentral:tRNA from 1 species
GGGCCGGUGGGGGUAACGGUAACCCCGGUUGCGUUGGUACCAACAGAUACGGGUUCAAGUCCCGUCCGGUCCACCA